AGUGAACGCUGGCGGUAGGCCUAACACAUGCAAGUCGAACGGCAGCACAGUAAGAGCUUGCUCUUACGGGUGGCGAGUGGCGGACGGGUGAGGAAUACAUCGGAAUCUACUUUUUCGUGGGGGAUAACGUAGGGAAACUUACGCUAAUACCGCAUACGACCUACGGGUGAAAGCAGGGGAUCUUCGGACCUUGCGCGAUUGAAUGAGCCGAUGUCGGAUUAGCUAGUUGGCGGGGUAAAGGCCCACCAAGGCGACGAUCCGUAGCUGGUCUGAGAGGAUGAUCAGCCACCCUGGAACUGAGACACGGUCCCGACUCCUACGGGAGGCAGCAGUGGGGAAUAUUGGACAAUGGGCGCAAGCCUGAUCCAGCCAUACCGCGUGGGUGAAGAAGGCCUUCGGGUUGUAAAGCCCUUUUGUUGGGAAAGAAAAGCAGCAGGUUAAUACCCCGCUGUUCUGACGGUACCCAAAGAAUAAGCACCGGCUAACUUCGUG
rnacentral:rRNA from 1 species